UGGCUGCAGCCCAUCGGCCCAGUUGUCAUCACGAGAAAGAAUUUACCUGCAUGGGGACAUAAACUUGCUUGUCUUGAUGGCUGGCGUUUGCAUAACUGGAAACAGCACUGGUAUAUCAUAGGCAUUUACAAAACCUAUUUAAUAGGUUGAUGCAUGAGUGAAGAGUGUAUUUGGAAGGAAAUGAUUCUGGUUUUAAAAGGUGACAUUACAACUAUCAGUUUUGUAUUCUCAGUAUCCAAAAUGCCCAGAUAUCAGUAAAGGCAACAGUUAUAUAUUUACUAAUAAUUAAAGACUUAGCAAUUUUGUUCUGUCUGUCUGCCUGCCAACCUACCUACCUACCUAUCACUCAGUCAGUCAGCUGGAAAGUUUGAUUAAUGCUUAAGAGCACUUGUUCUUGCCAAAGAAUCCACGUUUGCUUCUACACACACACACACACACACACACACACACACACACACACACGGAGGCUCACAAUCAUCCUGUAACUCUAGCCCCGGGGGUGCCCUCUUCUCACUUCCUGGGCCACUAGAUAGACAUGUAAAAAUAAGAAAGAAGUUAAAAAAUAGUACCAUUAACUUGUUUAUUUGAUCUCAUUUUUAUACUUAGUACUUUUGUUUUAGAAUCUGACCCAGGGCACCAUACUACAUUAAUAACCAUGUCUUUAAUCUCUUCUUACAUGGACAUUAAUCUUUUUUGUUUUCCAUGGAUGACACAUUUUUGGAGAGGUGUGUGAGAGUGUGUGAGUGUGUGUGUGUGUGUGUGUGUGUGUGAGACAGUAUCGCAUCAUAUAGACAAGGGUGUACUGGGAUUUUAUAGGUACUUCAGGCUAACCUUGAACUAUGUUUCUACUGUCCCAGCUACCUCACUGCUGGGGUUACAGGCAUGUACUGUCUUGCCUGAAUAAAAUUUUAAGAGUUAUUUUUAAGUAUUUUACAAAAUGUUGGAGGAGGUUCUUCUGGCGCCCCCCCCCCACCCCCCCCAUGAUUAGGUUGGGAGUUGUAGAUUUUGGGAAUAAAUACUAAAGAGGCAAAUUGAGUUGAUUAUAUUUUGGUGAUGCAUGGUACAAACCUUGGUGAAGUUAAUCUUGCCUUUGACUGGUUGGUUUAGGUAAUGAGUGUUUUUUCCAUGUUUCUCUGCUGUAUAAGGUGACUAUCUUUCGAUUUCCAUAUUUGGUCUUUGAAUUAGUUCUGGAAUAUUCAAACACACUAUUAUGACUUUUUGACUUUUUGGUUUAACCUGUAUUCAUGUAAGUUCCUUUUAUUUUAUGUCUUUUUUUUUUUUUGAUAGGGUUUCUCUCUGUGUAGCCUUAGUUGUCCUGGAACUUGCUCUGUAGACUAGGCUGACCUUGAUCUUGUAGAGAUCCUUCUGCCCUUAUCUCCUAAGCACUGGGCUUAAAGACUUGUGCCACCACCUCCGAGCUGUAAGCUCCUUUUUGGUGAUUGUAAUUCUUUAGGUUUAAGAAAUGUAAAAUGUGCCCAUUUAAAAGAUUUUAAAAGUGGAGAUUCUGCCUCUCCUGGACAGGGCCUGCAUCCCUUCCUCACUGCUUGCAACAAAACAGCUUGGUGUGUUUCUGAUUUCCUUUAGAUCCUACUCUAUCUAGUUUGUUUGUUUGUUUUUGUUUUUUUAAACAAUCUCUCUCCCUUCUGAACUGUUGCUUCAUCUAUUGCAUAAUUGAAGAGUAAAUUUGUUAGAAUUUGGUGGAACUGAAUAGUUGAGACUGUUCAAUAGAUUUUUUUGUCAAUGUAGAUGCUUUUCUCUUUUUGGCUUUUUGCUUGUGGCGUUCAAGAUUGCCAGAUAGAAAAUUAGGCUAAAUAUCGCCAGAAAUCACAUCUGUCAAAUGAUUGUUUUUAACAUCUGAAAAUAUAGGAUAACACUUUGAGAGAUACUUGAUGCUGUGAACUGAGAGAGAGAGAGAGAGAGAGAGAGAGAGAGAGAGUUGCUGCUGUGGGAAAGAAAAGAACUGAGCUCUUAGCUGCUGCAUCAUGAGGUGUCUGCCAGUGUGGUUAAGGAAAAGAGCAGUCACUCAGGAAACGGGAUUCUUAACUACUUACUGCACUGCCCGGCGCGGGGAUGAAAAGGGGGGGAUGGGUGAGAUGACCCGCAUCCUGCCAGAGCUCGGUGAGACUGACUGGAUGGGGCGGCGGAGGCGGGUGGUGGUGGAGGGUGGCCACGGGAGAUUGCUGUGGGACCCACGGAACCAGAAUGGGCAGUGCUAGGCUUAGGCCACCGGACCACGCUCAGUGGGGGUGGGGAAGGCGCAGUCUUGGCUCUGACUCAGGCGCCACAGACUUCUGGGUACCACGGAAGAGUCAGCUCAGGGGUCUCUGGGCUGCAUGGAGGCCAGGAACUACAGGUUCUCAAUCUUGGGCAUCCCAGAGCCAUUGGAUGUUGCGGCUGGACGUCUUGAAAGAGCUGAGAAUGAAGUGGGGAGCCCCCAGGGGCAGCUUGGUCAGCCCCAGGGUUGAAGGGAGAAGGGGUAGGGGGAGAAGGCGCUGCUGGGUGGUUCCUGCGUGGGCAUGAGUCCUUGGUCUGGUCUGGCGGCUGGAAAAGCUGGUAGGCCUUUCUGCGGGAGAUUAGACUCAGCUCUUUUGGGGAAGGCCUGGUCCAUUGCUAUAGCAUGGGGGUCUUGAUGAGCAGAGACAGUCCAUGGUUUUAGAGCUUUAUUGUAGAAAAGCAGAGGGGGUGGGGCAUGGCCAUGUUGCUUGCUCUGCCUCUUGAUCUGCUGUUGACUUUAUUUAGCUCUUGUGUACAGAAAACUCUUGGGGUAAAGGUGUGACUAGGGCUGAGCCACACCACAGCAAUAAACAGGUUUUUCUAGUUUACAAUCUUGGGGUUCACAGUGUGAUCAAAUAUCCUGCAAAAGGAAGGCCUUAUUUGAACUUAUGAUUCCAGGGGGAAAUAAGAGUCUGUCACCAUCAUGGUGGUGAAGUAUGGCACUGGUCCAAAGAUUAUCUCUGUACAACACUGAAGAAGACAAGGGCCGGACCAGAAAACUACAAAUUUUAGCCUUGUGGUGGUGGCAUAGGCCUUUGAGUCCAGGAGGCAGAGGCAAGUGGCUCUCUUGAGUUUGAGGCCAGCCUCAGCUACAAAGUUCCAGGAUAGCCAGGGAGACUUAGAGAAACCUGUCCUAAUCUGGCGAGUAAUGAAGGGCAAUUAGGGAUAUUCUGCAAAUGAUGGGGUUAGAGCGAUUGGGGACAAGUUUGGUUGUCAGACAGAUGUUAGUGAUAAGGGGGUAACAGAACAGUUGUGACCCAACUGUGGAGUCUGUGGUACAAGAGUCCUGUCUUCCUCAGGCAGAGCUACAUGUGCAUAGAUGGCAUGUGUUUCUGCAGUCAUUGGACCAAUGCCAAUUGCUAGAGUUAAUCUUCUACUGGACUUACUAUAUAAGAUGUUGCCAGUACAUUCCCUGUCACAGAUAUAUAAUGUAGCAAGUAACUAUGAAAUUUUUUUUUUUUUUUUGUCUCUCUGGGUGUCCUGAAACUCACUUUCUAGACCCUCUGUCCACAGACUCACAGAGAUUGGACAGUCUCUGCCUCCCAAGUAUGGGAUUAAAUGCAUGCGCCCUGCACACCUCUGUGAUUUUUACUACUUAUAAAAAAAGGUCAAAGUUUCAAAUAAUUUUGAAAAUCAGUAAAUAUUUCUUGGUAUCUUUUCAUGAUAAAACUCUAUGAAAUCAAUAAUUUUCAAAGCUUUACAUCAGAAUGAUUAUUUCAGUUUUUUUUCCCCCAUGAAAAGAUUGUCUUUAAGUGGUAAUGCUCGUAUGUCAGUAUGUCAUUUUUCACUUGAAGCCAGUUCUCCAUGCUCUUUAUGUAUGUCCUGUUGGCUGUCAUGUUGGGAUGUUGGGAUUUCUUGGUUUCUUCUUCUUCUUUUUUUUUUUUUUCUGUUUUUUUGUUUUUGUUUUUGUUUUUGUUUUUGUUUUUAGUUUCUUGAGAAAGGGUUUCCUGGCUGUCCUGGAGCUCACUCUGUAGACCAGGCUGACCUCAAACUGAGAAAUCCACCUGCCUCUGCCUCCCAAGUGCUGGGAUUAAAGGCGUGUGCCACCACUGCCCGACUUUUUUCUUGGUUUCUAAUACAGCUUGCAGGAAGCAUGUUAAUACCAGUUUUGCUUUCAGACUGAGCUCUUAUCCCCCUCUUUGUGGGGUCAGGAACAUAACUGGGCACCUGUUGUGUAGGCUUUAGACUUUUAUCCUUGACCAUGAAGUGAGAGAUACGUCUGCAAAUCAAUUUUUCUCUUCUUGCAGGUUGAGAAGAUAGUAAAUGCUGAAUAAAAAAA